rnacentral:rRNA from 1 species
GACGAACGCUGGCGGCGUGCCUAACACAUGCAAGUCAGGGAGAAAGAGGUAGCAAUAUCUCGAGUAAACCGGCGAACGGGUGAGUAACACGUAGGUAACCUGCCCUCGAGUUGGGAAUAACUUCGAGAAAUCGAGGCUAAUACCGGAUAAUGCAACGAACCCGCAUGGGUUUGUCGUUAAAGUUCCGCGCAAGCGGAACGCUUGAGGAUGGACCUGCGGCCGAUUAGCUAGUUGGCGGAGUAACAGCCCACCAAGGCGACGAUCGGUAGCCGACCUGAGA